CAGUCGCCGCGGUAAGACAGAGGAUGCAAGCGUUAUCCGGAAUGAUUGGGCGUAAAGGGCUCGCAGGCGGUUUCUUAAGUCUGAUGUGAAAGCCCCCGGCUCAACCGGGGAGGGUCAUUGGAAACUGGGAAACUUGAGUGCAGAAGAGGAGAGUGGAAUUCCACGUGUAGCGGUGAAAUGCGUAGAGAUGUGGAGGAACACCAGUGGCGAAGGCGACUCUCUGGUCUGUAACUGACGCUGAGGGGCGAAAGCGUGGGGAGCGAACAGGAUUAGAUACCCCAGUAGUCCCUGUCUCUUAUAC
rnacentral:rRNA from 1 species